rnacentral:lncRNA from 1 species
CGGAUCGAGCAUGGCCUAUACAGUACCGUUUUAGAGCCAUUGAAAUAGGCUUAAAAUGGCACCGUUUUUGCUCCUUUAUAAAGGCUAAAAUCAAGCCAAAUUCGGUCGAACUAAACCCUAUCCCCUUUUGACUCUCCUUCAACCGAUCCCUAAUCUCAUUUUUAAACACCAGUCUACCAUUAUCAAAGUGACUUAAAGGAUUCAGACCUUGAAAGAUGCCAUUCUCGGCCAGGAAAUCCCUUCCACGCUCCAAUUUCAACGAAGCAGAUGAAAUCUCUUAGCGUAUUCAUAAGGUAAAGCUCUUGUUUUCUCUUUGUUUUUCCAAUACAUAUAAACUCUAAUGAAAGACUAAUAGAACCGAAAGAGAAAAGAAAAAUUAAAGAAUAUUUGAAUCAAAAAUCACCUUUUCAAUUUUGAUUGCUUUCUUUUCAAUAUGCGUGUGUUUUUCAAUACAUUGUUGUACUUGGCUUUUUAUAGCCAAAAUGUAAAAUCAAAUACACGUUUCUUUUUUUGCUUUCUCCUUUGCUGUAUUCUGUUGUGGUUUGUUAAUUUGUUACAGGAGGAGCCAGCUGGAGGUGGUGGCUCACGUGGAGACCGAUUCCAUGCGAGGCUGCGGCGCAAACUAGUCCUUGGGUUUCAGCUCUUGAAACCGAAGUUUGGGUCAUUUGGGUCCGUGAUUUGGGCCAUUGUAAUAGGCUGUUAAUUUUGUUAGGGAUUUGGGUUUAUUGUUGAGCUAAUAAAUGUAAAUGGAAUGGACUUUUAAAUUUGGACCUUUUAUUUGUUUUUUUAUUUUUGUUUUUAAAUUUUUUUGGGGUUUAUUUCGGGCUGGGCAAAUUGGGUUUACUACAUGGUCAUUUUUGACAUUUUUACAAAAUUACCCCUAAGUUUUACUUUUAUUAAAUUUAGUCCCUG